rnacentral:rRNA from 1 species
CGCACGGGUGAGUAACACGUAUCCAACCUGCCGUCUACUCUUGGACAGCCUUCUGAAAGGAAGAUUAAUCCAGGAUGGCAUCAUGAGCCCACAUGUUCUCAUGAUUAAAGGUAUUCCGGUAGACGAUGGGGAUGCGUUCCAUUAGAUAGUAGGCGGGGUAACGGCCCACCUAGUCGACGAUGGAUAGGGGUUCUGAGAGGAAGGUCCCCCACAUUGGAACUGAGACACGGUCUAA